UACGUAGGCAGCGAGCGUUGUUCGGAGUUACUGGGCGUAAAGAGUGCGUAGGCGGUGCUCCAAGUCUGGUGUGAAAUCUCCCGGCUUAACCGGGAGGGUGCGCCGGAAACUGGGGUGCUGGAGUGUGGGAGAGGUAAGCGGAAUUCCCGGUGUAGCGGUGAAAUGCGUAGAUAUCAGGAGGAACACCCGUAGCGAAGGCGGCACUCUGGGCCGAUACUGACACUGAGGAGCGAAAGCGUGGGGAGCGAACAGG
rnacentral:rRNA from 1 species